UCACUCGAUAAGGCCGCCACUAUCUUCUAGGUUCAAAGCGAACCAGAAGAGUCACGCAGCGAGAGAGUGUCGAUAUGGCUUCCCGUCUCUGCUCUUGCUCCUGUUCUCUCACUCCAGACCACCAUUUCUUCAUCAAAUCUCUCUCUACUCCACCCCUACUCAAACCAACCCCUUUUCCACGCACCCCUUCUCUACAGCACUUCAACUUCCCUCUCUCUCCUCAUCGAAGAACUUCUCUCCAAAUCGCCCCGGUUUCCGUUCAAGACCCAGUGUUACGACAAACCCACGAACCAGAUUCUGAAAAGCCCAAAAGCUACGUAUGGGUCAACCCCAAAAGCCCAAGAGCUGCCCAGCUACGUGAGCAAUCGUACGAUGCCAGGUACGCUUAUCUCGUUAGCAUUGCCGAGUCCUUGAAUUCUUGUAACCCAGAUGAGAAAGAUGUUUACAGCGUAUUAGACGCGUUGGAUGAUAAGAUUGUGGAGCAGGACGCUGUUGUCGUGCUCAAUAGCAUGUCUAACCCUGAAACGGCACCGUUUGUGCUCAAGUACUUUCAGGAGAGAAUUAAAACGAUAAGGGAAGAGGUGAUUCUGUAUAAUGUUACGUUUAAGGUUUUCAGAAAGUGUAAGGAUUUAGAUAGAGCAGAGAAGUUGUUUGGUGAGAUGGUCCGGAGAGGGGUUAAGCCGGAUAAUAUUACGUUUUCGGCGAUAAUCAGCUGCGCUAGGCGGUCUAGUUUGCCAGAGAAAGCGGUGGAGUGGUAUGAGAAGAUGCCUGCCCACGGUUGUCAACCGGAUGAUAUUCACCACGCGGUGAUCAUCGACGCAUAUGGGCAAACGGGUAAUAUAGAUAUGGCUUUGAGCUUGUAUGACCGUGCCAGAGCUAAACGGUGGCGCCUUGACGCCCUGACAUUCGCUACUCUGAUUAAGAUAUAUGGGAUGUCUGGGAAUUUCGAGGGGUGCUUGAAUGUGUAUGAAGAGAUGAAAGCAAUAAGAGUUAAGCCAAACUUGACUGUAUAUAACUCGUUGUUAGAUGCUAUGGGAAGAGCCAAGAGACCUUGGCAGGCCAAGUCUAUUUACGAGGAGAUGAUAAUCAAUGGGUUUAAACCGUCUUGGGCAACCCAUGCUGCACUACUUCGGGCCUUUAGCAAAGUUCGCCAUGCUGAUGAUGGCUUAAGGGUGUAUAGAGAGAUGAAGCGGAAGGGGAUGGAGUUGAAUGUUACCUUGUACAAUACCGUUUUAGCCAUGUUCGCUGAUGUUGGGUAUGUUGAUGAAGCUGUUGAGGUUUUUGAGGAUAUGAAGCGGUCCGGGACCUGCAAACCUGACAGCCGAACAUUCUCUUCUCUUAUGACUGCAUAUUCCUGCAGCGGGAAAGUCUCAGAAGCAGAAGCCUUAUUUGACGAGAUGUUGGCAGCAGGUUUUGAACCUAGUAUAUUUAUCCUGACUUCACUCGUUCAAUGCUAUGGAAAAGCCAAAAGCACAGACGAUGUUGUUAGAACAUUUAACUGGAUUUUGGUGCUAGAUUUAACUCCAGAUGAACGGUUCUGUUGUUGUCUUCUCAAUGUGGUGGCCCACACACCAGCAGAAGAACUUGGUAAGAUUAUCAGCUGCCUUGAGAAGGCUAAUGCAAAGCUUGGUUAUGUGGUGAAGCUCCUUGUAGAUGGGGGAAAUGGAGAAGAACAGAUCCUUAUGAGGGAAACUCAUGAACUCUUAAAUUCAGUUGGCCCUGACAUUAGAAGGCCGUACUGUAAUUCCUUAAUCGAGAUCUGUGUUAAUCUCAAUAUGUUGGAAAGAGCUUGUGAAUUGUUCGACCUUGGGCUUAGACUUGAGUUAUACGCAAAUGUACAGUCAAAGUCUCCGGUGCUCUGGUCUUUAAACUUGAAGAGCCUCUCGCUUGGGGCAGCUGUGACUGCAUUACAUGUUUGGAUGAAUGACUUGUCCAAGGCGCUUGAAAGUGAAGAGGAGCUUCCAUCACUGCUUGGUAUCAGUACUGGACAUGGGAAACACAGAUAUCCAGACUCGAGUUUGGCAGAAGUGUUGGAGUCACGUCUGAAGGAACUAAAUGCUCCAUUCCACGAGUCUCCUGACAAGGUUGGCUGGUUUACGACAACGAAGGUUGCAGCCAAGUCAUGGUUGGAGUCUAGACGCUCACGUUAGCUGGAUAAAGAAGUCAAGCAACUUGAAUGCAAGUUCUUCAUCGCCACUUUGCACUUUUUGUCAUUGCCACUUUGCACUUUUUGAACAUGUGAUAGGUGCGAGCAAUUCCCAUAACAAACACUGUCUCGUGUUUCCAUCCAACAAACAACUACCAAUCGCUAUUCACAGAGACAUACAAUCAAACCUAUUGUGGAAUGUCAUUCAUGUAAAUCUCAAGAGUAGAAUGUGUCCAACAAAAAUCUUUCCUGGACAAAUCCUCUCCUGCUAAAUCAGAGCAUUGUUCCAACUAUGUACCAUCACUCAAAUAUUAUUUAUAUUUACACAGAACAAAUCACAAGAUGUGGCUGAUGAAGCUGCUGAUUCCCA